UACGAAGGGGGCUAGCGUUGCUCGGAAUCACUGGGCGUAAAGCGCUCGUAGGCGGAUUGUUAAGUCGGGGGUGAAAUCCUGGAGCUCAACUCCAGAACUGCCUUCGAUACUGGCAAUCUUGAGUCCGGGAGAGGUGAGUGGAACUCCGAGUGUAGAGGUGAAAUUCGUAGAUAUUCGGAAGAACACCAGUGGCGAAGGCGGCUCACUGGCCCGGUACUGACGCUGAAGUGCGAAAGCGUGGGGAGCAAACAGG
rnacentral:rRNA from 1 species